GUGCCAGCCGCCGCGGUAAUACGUAGGUGGCAAGCGUUAUCCGGAAUUAUUGGGCGUAAAGCGCGCGUAGGCGGUUUUUUAAGUCUGAUGUGAAAGCCCACGGCUCAACCGUGGAGGGUCAUUGGAAACUGGAAAACUUGAGUGCAGAAGAGGAAAGCGGAAUUCCAUGUGUAGCGGUGAAAUGCGCAGAGAUAUGGAGGAACACCGAUGGCGAAGGCAGGUUACUGGGCAGUCACUGACGCUGAGGAGCGAAAGCAUGGGUAGCAAACAGGAUUAGAUACCCUGGUAGUC
rnacentral:rRNA from 1 species